ACGAACGCUGGCGGCGUGCCUAAUACAUGCAAGUUGAGCGCUGAAGGUUGGUACUUGUACCAACUGGAUGAGCAGCGAACGGGUGAGUAACGCGUGGGGAAUCUGCCUUUGAGCGGGGGACAACAUUUGGAAACGAAUGCUAAUACCGCAUAAAAACUUUAAACACAAGUUUUAAGUUUGAAAGAUGCAAUUGCAUCACUCAAAGAUGAUCCCGCGUUGUAUUAGCUAGUUGGUGAGGUAAAGGCUCACCAAGGCGAUGAUACAUAGCCGACCUGAGAGGGUGAUCGGCCACAUUGGGACUGAGACACGGCCCAAACUCCUACGGGAGGCAGCAGUAGGGAAUCUUCGGCAAUGGACGAAAGUCUGACCGAGCAACGCCGCGUGAGUGAAGAAGGUUUUCGGAUCGUAAAACUCUGUUGGUAGAGAAGAACGUUGGUGAGAGUGGAAAGCUCAUCAAGUGACGGUAACUACCCAGAAAGGGACGGCUAACUACGU
rnacentral:rRNA from 1 species